rnacentral:pre_miRNA from 1 species
AAUGAAAUUGCUGGGUCAUAUGGUAAUUCUGUGUUUAACUUUUUGAGAAACUGCCAAACUGUUUUCUACAGAGACUGCACCAUUUUACCUUCCCACCAGCAAU